rnacentral:lncRNA from 1 species
GGGGGUGGGGGGCUUGACAAAUUUUGUCCUGCAUUUUUGUUUAGCUGUAAUCUCUGUCCUGCCUUUUAAUUUUUCACUCUGUUCGGUCCUGCCCUUUUUUUUAUAGUUUAUCCUGACUUUUGUUUUACCUAUAUUGUUGUCCUGACUUUUUUUUUGCAAGUGUCUCAUCCUGCCUUUUUUUUUUUUAACUUAAAACCCCUGUCCUGCCUAUUUUUUUCAAAUUUCAUCCUAGCCCCCCUAAAAAUCAAAUGGUAGCUCCCUUAUUUCAAACAUAUUUCCGUAAUUUGACGCAUCCAGUUUUAUUUUGCUUCUAUUGUUUAUCAGAAUUGUAGAAAUGGGAAAUGUGACACGGUAAAGCAUUGUAUACAUGAGCUUUACGUUAUCGCGUCUAUUAUCGACAAUUGAUAUUAAUAUAUUAUAUUUCAAUUUGGUUAAUCGUCGUUUUAUUGUUUUAUAUCAUUAAUAUAGCGAUAAAUCAUAAUUUCAAUCAACAAAAAUAUAUAACUUAGGUGAGAAUGGUUACCAACUUAAAGUUCGCGUAACCUCUAAUUGACCCGUGUUACGUAUACGCAGAGAGGGAGAGAGAAAGAAAACAACUAAAAGAUUGGUCAAAAUAAAACCGAUGAUAAGACAUACAAACAAAAACAAAACAUUACAUAGAAACCUAAUGGCUGAACAACUAGAAACCCACAAAAAACAUCAGAACGUGGUACAGGUGCUUUGCUUACACUAACAGCCGCUUUUGUAACAUAUAAUGACCUAACCUCGUACUGACUGACUUAUAUUUUGUAACCCAAAAAUGCAUGUGUAGGUGCACAGGCGUUUGGAGCAGGAUUUUUUCUUUAAUUGAUCAAAAUGUUAAAGUACAGUCUUAUUUAAGAUUCCAUGGGUUAUUUUGAUUUGAGUGAAAUUUGCAAGAGGUUUAUAAUUGAAAUUAAUUCCACUUAUCUAAUGAGUUCUAGUUCAUAUGCAUACGAUAUUACAAUAACAGUUGAUAAUAAAUGAUGCCUUCUAUUCCCAAUUGCAAUUACCUCGCAUGGAUUGAAACAAAAACAAAUAAUGAAUAAGUGAAAAUAAGUUAAAAUUUUCAAUAGAAAAUUUACUGAAAAAUUACGAAACGAAAAAAAUGGGUCCAUUUUUAAUCGCUUAUGUGUAUGUAUGUAGUUUAGUACAUUUAUAAACCAUUUUCAAAAGGUUAUUUGUACUAUUAAGUACGCUAUUUUGUACUGCUUCGUUCACUUACAGGAAAGCACACUCAGGAUUAAUAGGAAUAUAAAAAAAGUUUGUAAGUCUGCCAUUUACACAGUAAUGAUGCAUUUUGCCAUAUGACAAUAAUUGACAUCAGAAAAAAUGCACGUAAAUGCACUACUGAAGUACAAGAACAUCAGGGCUUGUUACAUUGUAUGUAUUGAUAAAAGGUUAUGCACAUUUUGAAAGUAAAGUAGGAAAAUCGACAAGCCUGCCUCGAAAAUUGAAACUUCCUAUGAAAAUUUAUCACACAACAAUGGACUUUGAUUAUUGUUAAAAGAUAUCAUAACAUGCGGUAUGAUAAAUAAAAAGUCAUAUCCUUAUUGUCCAUUUUGUAAACUAAUCCAAACCCAAAUAUGGAAAACCUCGAAAUAAGUAAGCUCGUCAUUCUCCGAACUUCCCCACGGUAUCUCACAUCAAAAUACGAUGUCGAUUCUUAUCAGAAAAAAUUUCUGAUAACUUAUUUCGGAAUUAUUUCGGAACUAACUAAAGAUUUAACUCCUUCGGGGAAAUUUUACCUUAUAUUUCUGUUGGUCUUUUAUGGUUCUUUUGUGUUCAUAUAGGUCCUCAAAUGCAGAAUUUUUAAAAAACUAUCAAGCGAUAAAACACAUCAAACGAAUGGACAACUGUCAUAUUCCUGACUUGGAACAGGUAUUUUUAAAUGUAGAAAAUUGUGGAUUGAACCUGGUUUUAUAGCACUAAACCUCUCACUUGUAUGACAGUCGCAUCAAAUUCCAUCAUAUUUACAGCGAUGUGUGAACAAAAGAGACAUAAUAAGCAAAAUAGUAACAAAAUGUAUAAACGAGGGCCUGGAUUGGGUCCCAUAAUUCUGUAAUUCUGUAGUCAUUAAUUAGUUAAGCCAUUGUUUUUCUCUCUCUUUUUAUAGGUUUGGUCCAUUGAUUUCUAUGAUUUAUAACUUUAGCCCUUUUUCUCUAUUUUUUAUUUUUAUUUCUUUUUUUUCUGUAGUAUGUAUUGGUCAAUUAUUUUCUAUUCUGUAGUCUCAGAAGUUAAAACGUGCUUUCCUGGUUAAAGGGAGACAACUCAUUUUUCUUAAUGUAAAGUCGCCUUUGCAAUGUAUGAAAAAAUUAUAAUGAGUUGCAAACGUUGGUUGCAUACGUAUUAUAGUCAUGAUGAGUCUCUUUUUUUUUUAUAUUGUCAUAAAGAAUUAGCUGCAGAUCUACUCAAAUACAUGAUCAAUACAAGCAGUAGACAUCUACCAAUGAUAUUUCAGCAUUAAGCUGCAAUAUGGAAAAAACACAUUUUUUUUUAUCUUUUUACAACAAGUUUCUUUUGUUUGUAUACAAUGGACACAUACCUUUAUUUCCAAACAUUUAAUUUAUAAUAAUUCCAAACAUUAUA